rnacentral:rRNA from 1 species
CCUACGGGAGGCAGCAGUGAGGAAUAUUGGUCAAUGGGCGCGAGCCUGAACCAGCCAAGUAGCGUGAAGGAUGACUGCCCUACGGGUUGUAAACUGCUUUUAUAAAGGAAUAAAGUGAGGCACGUGUGCCUUUUUGUAUGUACUGUAUGAAUAAGGAUAGGCUAACGCCGGGCCAGCAGCGGCGGUAAUACGGAGGAGACGAGCGUUAUCCGGCUUUAUUGGGUUUACAGGGAGCGUAGAGGGGUGGUUAAGUCAGUUGUGAGAGUUUGCGGCUCAACCGUACAAUUGCAAUUGAUACGGGCAGCCUUGCGUACAGUUGAGGUAGGCGGAAUUCGUGUUGUAGCUGUGACAUGCUUAGAUAUC